UCGUGUGCUCUGGGAGGGGGCCACUGGUCAGAGGGCAGCCCCGCUGGCCUAUCCUGUGUUUUUUUUUUUUUUUUUUUUUGGUUUUGUUUUGUUUUUGAGUUACAACUGGUUGGAUCUCAAAGGGAUCUAGCUCUAGUGGAGCCUCAAGAUCCGACUUUUAGUGCUUUCAUUUACAGAGUCCAGUUCACAUGGAUUCUCUUGUACAGGGUCCCCAGUAAUUUCUAGAGAGAUAUUCUGGAUUUUUUGUAGAGGAAUGAUAGGAUUAGGUUUUUUCCCUCUUGAAAUUGCGACCUGUCUUUCCAGUUCUUCCACACGGUCAUGCAAUAGUUGAUUUUCAUCAGUGAGAGCUGCUUCAGUUAUAUUUAGUUGGUUCAAGGCCAUCAGCAGUGGCCAUGCCCCCGUGGAGACAACUAAUUGUUGUUCUCGAGUUGUGAGUACGUUUUUGUUUAGACUAUUGAAAUACUUAGCCAGGUGGGCAGGGACUCCUGAACAUUUCCUCUGUCCCACAGGGGGCCCCAUUUUUCAACGAUACAAGCAAUCCCAUGAUAUGGGGAUCCUAGGAAUCCCGGGUAACAGUUUGGAGAAAGGGAUGAGCUGAGGAAUGUGACCCUCCCCCAUUCGUACUGUUGCGUCACCGAAGAGAAGGAUGGGGGAAAAGGGGGACCCACGCAGACUCAGAUUGCACAGGAAGUAUUGCAGAGACAGAAGGGGUGGCUCCAGACCCCCCACACACACGCCAGGCACCCAGGCACUCAUGUAGCCCACCCACUGGUUCAGGUUGUGACCUUGGAAUUCCACUACACACAGUAAUAGUUUUCAAGUUUCCCAUAAGGAUUAUUCUUAGAACUAUAAAAUGCAUUUCAUGAUAAAUUUACAUGGUAAUGAACACAUAUCUUAACCAUUAGGCUCUUGUAGAUCUUACAUAGACAUAACUAUUGAGAAACUAAAUUGUGGGAUAGUAAAACAUCAAAUUAUACAGAGAAAAUGUAAACUGUACUUCCCUAGUGUAGUGUCCUACUCAUGGGACAUUCAGAAUCAAAGAAUCACUGUAUAACAACAGAAAAAGAAAAUUAUUAGUUAUGUGAAUAUCUGAAGCUGAAAAGAAAAUAGAUUGGUGAGAACAACACUGAGAUUUAAAUAUCACCUAAUCAUACUUAAUAACUUUUAAAUAACUAUAUUUACCUAUAUGAGUAAAUACAUGUGGAAUAAAAAAAUAAGUCAUGCUAUUUCAUUCACAGGAACAUGCUGUUGGGAAUCAAAACAUAUGAGAGCAUAAGCUUUAGUGAAGGUUUCUUUAAAUAUUAAGUAAAAGGAAAUGAAAGUAACAAAAGUCCAGACAAAAGAGUAUUGUGCUCCACGAAGUCUACACUUGAAUUUUAUGUGUGAUAGCAGUUUUCUUUCAGAUCUUUCUGAAAAGUUUUUCCUUUGCCAAUAUUUUCCUCCAAAAGAGCUGAACUGUUUCACUGUCGGUCAGAUGUCAUAUACACACACCGGGGAUCCAGAGAACUGUAGGUCUUCCUUAUCAUCUUGGUCACAUCAAAAAUGUCUCUAACCACUUCUCACCCUUCUGUAAUAAAUAACUAACAGAACUUACUUGCCUUCUGAACAGGCUUCCUGAGCGGGAAACACUGAGAUACAACACUGACAAGUGGCAUCAGCAGAAACACAGACAGAUGACAGAAGCUGCAUCCUGUAGUCUGAGGGGAAUGAAGACUGCAAGGCCUUGGGACGAUUGGUGAAAGACUCUGGGGUGCAAGCUAUUUUCUCUUCCCUCCUUCCAUUUUCAGCAGAUUCUGAGUAAGGUCCACUUGUACCAAACAAAAUCUCAAGGACUGGAAGAUAUUCAGACUCUGCAAGCAAGGUGACAUUGGCUGAUUAAUUUAUUUGAUUUGUACCACAGUGGAAAAGUAGUGUAUCUCUUUCAUCUUGAUGAAAUAGGUGAAGAAAAUGCAUGUUUUAAGUGACUGUUUGGUACUCUCCUGUAAAAUGUGCACUGAGAUAAUUAAGAUACACAUGAAUAGAAUGCAAAUAUCAUACUAACUGUGGUGUCAGACAACCUAUCACCUAAGUCCUUAUCAGCACCUGAGGAAUGGAAAGCAGCAAAGACAAUCCACCCUUUGAGAAGGAAUCCAAGUUACUUUUCCUUCAUGAACCCACGCUGCCUGUGAGCAGUGAUGACAUUGUUUUUCAGCGUAAUUUUCUCCAUCAUUUUUGCAGGUGGGAUUGACAGGUCCAUAAUUACCAGGGUCUUCUCCAUUGCUCUUCUUGAAAAUAGAAGCAAUGUUUUCCAACUUUCACUCAAGUGGGACCUCUUCAGAUUUCUAAGACCACUGAAAAAUAAUGUUGGAUUCAAAUUUGUCUUACCAAGAAAUUUGUGUCAUUUCUAAUAGUUUCCUGUAAACCUUUUUCAGGUUCAGAAAGACAAGUAAUGUUAAAUCUAGGAAAAAAAAAAAAAAAAAAAAAAAAAAAGCAAUCAAAACUGAGAACAUAUCAGAAAACAUAGUACAUCACUGGUGUUCCCAUCUUGAAUACUGAAUGAAGUUCUGAUAAAAUCAACUUAAAGAGAAGUACAGAACUAGAAAACAUGUAGAAAAAGAAUGAGGAAGAUGAUCAGAAGUAAGGAACAGACUCCACCUGAAAGAAUAAACAGCCUAUCACUUUAGGUUUGUAAAUCUUGGAAGAGAUUCACUAGUUUGCAUGAUACAAAAAGUACUGUGUGCGCUUUUCAGUAUGCUUCCUUCUGCUCUUAACUCUUAAGUUAUUAUUACUAAGAGAUGGAAAGCACCACUGAAUAUUUCCACUGUUGCUCUCAACUAUAUCUACUGCACACUGAUGUUCACUGUAGAGUAGUUGUGUAAACUCUUCAAAAGAUUAUUCAUACUAAUAUUGCAAAAACAAGCACUUGCAAGUUAUGAUUGAGGAUGCCUUUACAAUAAAGUUUCUGCCCUCUUGUA